rnacentral:rRNA from 1 species
UACGUAGGAUGCAAGCGUUGUCCGGAAUUAUUGGGCGUAAAGAGCGCGCAGGCGGUCAUUCAAGUCAGAUGUGAAAUAUCCGGGCUUAACCCGGAGGGGUCAUUUGAAACUGGGUGACUAGAGUACAGCAGAGGAUAGCGGAAUUCCCGGUGUAGAGGUGAAAUUCGUAGAUAUCGGGAGGAACACCGGUGGCGAAGGCGGUUCUCUGGGCCUUACCUGACGCUGAGGAGCGAAAGCGUGGGGAGCGAACAGG